rnacentral:rRNA from 1 species
GACGAACGCUGGCGGCGGGCUUAACACAUGCAAGUCGAACGGAAAGGCCCUGCUUUUGUGGGGUGCUCGAGUGGCGAACGGGUGAGUAACACGUGAGUAACCUGCCCUUGACUUUGGGAUAACUUCAGGAAACUGGGGCUAAUACCGGAUAGGAGCUCCUGCUGCAUGGUGGGGGUUGGAAAGUUUCGGCGGUUGGGGAUGGACUCGCGGCUUAUCAGCUUGUUGGUGGGGUAGUGGCUUACCAAGGCUUUGACGGGUAGCCGGCCUGAGAGGGUGACCGGCCACAUUGGGACUGAGAUACGGCACAGACUCCUACGGGAGGCAGCAGUGGGGAAUAUUGCACAAUGGGCGGAAGCCUGAUGCAGCAACGCCGCGUGCGGGAUGACGGCCUUCGGGUUGUAAACCGCUUUCGCCUGUGACGAAGCGUGAGUGACGGUAAUGGGUAAAGAAGCACCGGCUAACUACGUG